AUUGAACGCUGGCGGCAGGCUUAACACAUGCAAGUCGAACGAGUGGCCGACGGGUGAGUAAUGUCUGGGAAACUGCCUGAUGGAGGGGGAAAACUACUGGAAACGGUAGCUAAUAACGCAUACCAUCAGAUGUGCCCAGAUUGGAUUGGCUUGUUGGUGGGGUAACGGCCCACAAGGGCGACGAUCCCUAGCGGGUCUGAGAGGAUGACCAGCCACACUGGAGCGGAGACACGGCCCAGACUCCUACGUGAGGCAGCAGUGGGGAUUUUUGCACAAUGGGCGAAGCCCUGAUGCAGCCAUGCGGCGUGUAUGAAGAGGGCCUUCGGGUUGUAAAGUACUUUCAGCGGGGAGGCGUUACCCGAAGAAGAAGCACCGGCUAACUCCGUGCCAGCAGCCGCGGUAAUAC
rnacentral:rRNA from 1 species